rnacentral:rRNA from 1 species
GUAGACGCUGAAGAGAGGAGCUUGCUCUUCUUGGAUGAGUUGCGAACGGGUGAGUAACGCGUAGGUAACCUGCCUUGUAGCGGGGGAUAACUAUUGGAAACGAUAGCUAAUACCGCAUAACAAUGGAUGACACAUGUCAUUUAUUUGAAAGGGGCAAUUGCUCCACUACAAGAUGGACCUGCGUUGUAUUAGCUAGUAGGUGAGGUAACGGCUCACCUAGGCGACGAUACAUAGCCGACCUGAGAGGGUGAUCGGCCACACUGGGACUGAGACACGGCCCAGACUCCUACGGGAGGCAGCAGUAGGGAAUCUUCGGCAAUGGGGGCAACCCUGACCGAGCAACGCCGCGUGAGUGAAGAAGGUUUUCGGAUCGUAAAGCUCUGUUGUAAGUCAAGAACGAGUGUGAGAGUGGAAAGUUCACACUGUGACGGUAGCUUACCAGAAAGGGACGGCUAACUACGUGCCAGCAGCCGCGGUAAUACGUAGGUCCCGAGCGUUGUCCGGAUUUAUUGGGCGUAAAGCGAGCGCAGGCGGUUUGAUAAGUCUGAAGUUAAAGGCUGUGGCUCAACCAUAGUUCGCUUUGGAAACUGUCAAACUUGAGUGCAGAAGGGGAGAGUGGAAUUCCAUGUGUAGCGGUGAAAUGCGUAGAUAUAUGGAGGAACACCGGUGGCGAAAGCGGCUCUCUGGUCUGUAACUGACGCUGAGGCUCGAAAGCGUGGGGAGCGAACAGGAUUAGAUACCCUGGUAGUCCACGCCGUAAACGAUGAGUGCUAGGUGUUGGAUCCUUUCCGGGAUUCAGUGCCGCAGCUAACGCAUUAAGCACUCCGCCUGGGGAGUACGACCGCAAGGUUGAAACUCAAAGGAAUUGACGGGGGCCCGCACAAGCGGUGGAGCAUGUGGUUUAAUUCGAAGCAACGCGAAGAACCUUACCAGGUCUUGACAUCCCGAUGCUAUUUCUAGAGAUAGAAAGUUACUUCGGUACAUCGGUGACAGGUGGUGCAUGGUUGUCGUCAGCUCGUGUCGUGAGAUGUUGGGUUAAGUCCCGCAACGAGCGCAACCCCUAUUGUUAGUUGCCAUCAUUCAGUUGGGCACUCUAGCGAGACUGCCGGUAAUAAACCGGAGGAAGGUGGGGAUGACGUCAAAUCAUCAUGCCCCUUAUGACCUGGGCUACACACGUGCUACAAUGGUUGGUACAACGAGUUGCGAGUCGGUGACGGCAAGCUAAUCUCUUAAAGCCAAUCUCAGUUCGGAUUGUAGGCUGCAACUCGCCUACAUGAAGUCGGAAUCGCUAGUAAUCGCGGAUCAGCACGCCGCGGUGAAUACGUUCCCGGGCCUUGUACACACCGCCCGUCACACCACGAGAGUUUGUAACACCCGAAGUCGGUGAGGUAACCUUUUGGAGCCAGC